AGGAAUCAGCUGUCCUCCCAUUGAGCUUGAGUAUCUGCAGUGGGUGACAGUCCCUGGCCAGGAUAAUGUAGUACAUAGCCCCUCAGCAGAUGCUGAUGUCAUGCUCUUGAACUUCCCAGCAUCCAGAACGAUAAUGCAUACUUUGGGGAUUCCUCCCAGGGUUCUGUGAGAACUUCACAUCAUAUCUUUUUGCAAAGAGUCUGCUAUCUGCUCAGCAUCAUCCUUUGUUCCACCAAGGGCCUUGAUAUAAUUUCUGAAAUGUUCUUAUUGGAGUUUUUAAAACUUACUUUUAGAAUAUCUGACAUUCAUAAUAGCAAAGCUUGUUGUCGUGUUUAAUUCU